CAGCCGCCGCGGGAAUACGUAGGUGGCGAGCGUUGUCCGGAAUUAUUGGGCGUAAAGGGAGCGCAGGCGGACAUAUAAGUCCAUCUUAAAAGUGCGGGGCUCAACCCCGUGAGGGGAUGGAAACUGUAUGCCUUGAGUGCAGGAGAGGAAAGCGGAAUUCCCAGUGUAGCGGUGAAAUGCGUAGAUAUUGGGAGGAACACCAGUGGCGAAGGCGGCUUUCUGGACUGUAACUGACGCUGAGGCUCAAAAGCCGGGGGAGCGAACGGGAUUAGAUACCCCAGUAGUCCCUGUCUCUUAUACA
rnacentral:rRNA from 1 species